rnacentral:rRNA from 1 species
AUUGAACGCUGGCGGCGUGCUUAACACAUGCAAGUCGAACGCGAAAGGGAGUUCGGUCCUGAGUAAAGUGGCGCACGGGUGAGUAACGCGUGGAUAAUCUGCCCUUAUGAUUGGAAUAACAGUUGGAAACGGCUGCUAAUACCGGAUACGCUCAAAAUGAACUUUUGAGGAAAGAUGGCCUCUGCUUGCAUGCUAUCGCAUAAGGAUGAGUCCGCGUCCCAUUAGCUUGUUGGCGGGGUAACGGCCCACCAAGGCAACGAUGGGUAGCCGAUUUGAGAGGAUGAUCGGCCACACUGGAACUGAAACACGGUCCAGACUCCUACGGGAGGCAGCAGUGGGAAUAUUGCGCAAUGGGCGAAAGCCUGACGCAGCGACGCCGCGUGAGGGAUGAAGGUUUCGGAUCGUAAACCUCUGUCAGAAGGGAAGAAACUACGUUGUGCUAAAUCAGCAGCGUACUGACGGUACCUUCAAAGGAAGCACCGGCUAACUCCGUGCCAG